rnacentral:rRNA from 1 species
ACCAUGCAAGUCGAGCGGUAACAGAUCUUGCUUGCUGGAUGCUGACGAGCGGCGGACGGGUGAGUAAUGCAUAGGAAACUGCCCAGUAGUGGGGGAUAGCCCGGGGAAACCCGGAUUAAUACCGCGUACGCCCUUCGGGGGAAAGCAGGGGAUCUUCCGACCUUGCGCUAUUGGAUGUGCCUAUGUCGGAUUAUCUUGUUGGUGGGGUAAAGGCCUACCAAGGCGACCAUCCGUACCUGGUCUGAAAGGAUGAUCACCCACAUCGGGACUGAGACACGGCCCGAACUCCUACCGGAGGCAGCAAUGGGGAAUAUUGGACAAUGGGGGCAACCCUGAUCCAGCCCUGCCGCGUGUGUGAAGAAGGCUUUCGGGUUGUAAAGCACUUUCAGUGAGGAGGAAAACUCUGCGACUAAUACUCGUAGGGCUUGACGUUACUCAAGAACAAGCACCGGCUAACUCCGUGCCAGCAGCCGCGGUAAUACGGAAGGUGCAAGCGUUAAUCGUAAUUACUGGGCGUAAAGCGCGCGUAUGAUGUUUGAUAAGCGAGAUGUGAAAGCCCCGGGCUUAACCUGGGAACGGAAUUUCGAACUGUCAAGCUAGAGUAUGGUAGAGGGAAUUGGAAUUUCCUGUGUAAC